UAGUGGCAGCGUUAUCCGGAAUUAUUGGGCGUAAAGCGCGCGUAGCGGUUUUUUAAGUCUGAUGUGAAAGCCCACGGCUCAACCGUGGAGGGUCAUUGGAAACUGGAAAACUUGAGUGCAGAAGAGGAAAGUGGAAUUCCAUGUGUAGCGGUGAAAUGCGCAAGAUAUGGAGGAACACCAGUGGCGAAGGCGACUUUCUGGUCUGUAACUGACGCUGAUGUGCGAAAGCGUGGGGAUCAAACAGGAUUAAUACCCUGGUAGUCCACGCCGUAAACGAUGAGUGCUAAGUGUUAGGGGUUUCCGCCCCUUAGUGCUGCAGCUAACGCAUUAAGCACUCCGCCUGGGGAGUACGACCGCAAGGUUGAAGCUCAAAGGAAUUGACGGGGACCCGCACAAGCGGUGGAGCAUGUGGUUUAAUUCGAAGCAACGCGAAGAACCUUACCAAAUCUUGACAUCCUUUGAUCCUUCUAAGAUAGAAGUUUCCCCUUCGGGGGACAAAGUGACAGGUGGUGCAUGGUUGUCGUCAGCUCGUGUCGUGAGAUGUCGGGUUAAGUCCCGCAACGAGCGCAACCCUUAAGCUUAGUUGCCAUCAUUAAGUUGGGCACUCUAAGUUGACUGCCGGUGACAAACCGGAGGAAGGUGGGGAUGACGUCAAAUCAUCAUGCCCCUUAUGAUUUGGGCUACAACACGGUGCUACAAUGGACAAUACAAAGGGUACGAAACCGCGAGGUCAAGCAAAUUCCCAUAAAAGUUGUUCUCAGUUCGGAUUGUAGUCUGCAACUCGACUACAUUGAAGCUGGAAUCGCUAGUAAUCGUAGAUCAGCAUUGCUACGGUGAAU
rnacentral:rRNA from 1 species